rnacentral:rRNA from 1 species
CUCUUUGGAUGGACCUGCGGUGCAUUUAGCUAGUUUGGUAGGGUAAACGGCCUACCAAGGCGAUGAUGCAUAGCCGAGUUGAGAGACUGAUCGGCCACAUUGGGACUGAGACACGGCCCAAACUCCUACGGGAGGCAGCAGUAGGGAAUCUUCCACAAUGGACGCAAGUCUGAUGGAGCAACGCCGCGUGAGUGAAGAAGGGUUUCGGCUCGUAAAGCUCUGUUGUUGGUGAAGAAGGACAGGGGUAGUAACUGACCUUUGUUUGACGGUAAUCAAUUAGAAAGUCACGGGCUAACUACGUGCCAGCAGCCGCGGUAAAU